rnacentral:rRNA from 1 species
AUUGAACGCUGGCGGCAGGCCUAACACAUGCAAGUCGAACGAGUGGCGGACGGGUGAGUAAUGUCUGGGAAACUGCCUGUUGGAGGGGGAUAACUACUGGAAACGGUAGCUAAUACCGCAUACCAUCAGAUGUGCCCCGAUGGGAUUAGCUAGUAGGUGGGGUAACGGCUCACCUAGGCGACGAACCCUAGCUGGUCUGAGAGGAUGACCAGUCACACUGGAACUGAGACACGGUCCAGACGCCUAUGGGAGGCAGCAGUGGGGAAUAGUGCACAAUGGGAGCAAGCCUGAUGCAGCCAUGCCGCGUGUAUGAAGAAGGCCUUCGGGUUGUAAAGUACUUUCAGCGGGGAGGCGUUACCCGCAGAAGAAGCACCGGCUAACUCCGUGCCAGCAGCCGCGGUAAUAC